AGGGGUACCCGGAGAGCAGUGCGGGCUGGUACCUCUCUGCGGUGUUAGCAGCAGUGUAGACAUGAAUUAUUCACCCUUGUCUUUUGCGUACUUCUUGUUUCCUUGGUGGGUUCGCCCACCACUAGGACAAACAUAAACCUUUUGUAAUUGCAAUCAGCGUCAGUAACAAAUUAAUAAUUACAACUUUCAACAACGGAUCUCUUGGUUCUGGCAUCGAUGAAGAACGCAGCGAAAUGCGAUAAGUAGUGUGAAUUGCAGAAUUCAGUGAAUCAUCGAAUCUUUGAACGCACAUUGCGCCCUUUGGUAUUCCAAAGGGCAUGCCUGUUCGAGCGUCAUUUGUACCCUCAAGCUUUGCUUGGUGUUGGGCGUCUUGUCUCUAGCUUUGCUGGAGACUCGCCUUAAAGUAAUUGGCAGCCGGCCUACUGGUUUCGGAGCGCAGCACAAGUCGCACUCUCUAUCAGCAAAGGUCUAGCAUCCAUUAAGCCUUUUUUUCAACUUUUGACCUCGGAUCAGGUAGGGAUACCCGCUGAACUUAAGCAUAUCAAUAAGCGGAGAGAAAAU
rnacentral:rRNA from 1 species